rnacentral:rRNA from 1 species
CUGUCAGACCUGAGUACACGCAGCGCAGGCGGAAUUCAUGGUGUAGCGGUGA